AUGUAUCACCCAGCAGAGCUGUACUCUGGCCGUAACACAUGGGACUCCUAUCCAGCUGGAGGGCCUAACAGAGGACAAUGGGCUCCUGAACACGGUCGCCUCUGGAGCCACGCAAACCGAUGCCAAGAAGGGCGCAAUCAAUCACAUCAUCCGCUACCAAGUCGUCUUUAUAAUAGGGGGGAGCGAACAGUUAACCAUGUUCAGGACAAAGGGAUCUCAAAGGGGCACAGGCAGCAUCCGCGUCUCUGGGACAGUAAAGAGCAGCAGUUUGAGGCCCAGAACUGGCAUCACAACUCCACACGCUCCUUCCACAACCGGGCUGCCCCUAACAACGGUUAUCUAACCGGACCCGCAGAGCGCUACGCCACCUGGGACAACAAUGUCGGCAACUCUGUGAACGGGGGUUCUCGUCCGCAUCGCAACAACAGAGAGCUCCAUUCCCCGCCAGAGAGAUGGGCCCCCUCAGACUGCCGCAGGAGCUUCCCAGGCAGAAUGAUAAACAACCGGCCGGGGCCCUGGAAGCGGCCUGCCCUCCAUCAGCGGCGAGACCAAUUACACCAGCACAGCCCACCCCCACAGCACCCUUUGUCCCCGAGGGAAGAGUGUCCUGCUAAGAGGAGAAGGGAUUCUGGCUCGGAUCAGUCAUCUCUCCCUGGAUCAAGACAUUUACCUUUACUUGCCCACACACCGUCACCACCUCGCCACCACCGCUGUCACCAAGAUGACUGGAAGCCUCUCAAUGACAGGGCGGGUCCUUGCCACCACUCUGACCACAGGACCUCGACAACGCAGCAACAGGAAACCUCUAAACUUCGAGCUGGAGGACACGGCUUCGCUGACGGUGACCCAGCAGCUCCAAACCAGAGCUGUGGCAGCAGGCCGCCACAUCACGGAAGCCGAGGGAAGGUCGAGCGGAAAAUCUUGUCUUCACCAGCAGACCACACCCGUGUGCCUUACAGCCACCAAAACCACCAUUACCACUAUCAACGGCACACAGGCCGCCCCCGAGCCCCACAGCACAACCUGCCGCUAUACCCUCUAGAGGAGAGGGACUCACGGAGCCAUCACCACAAACAAAGCACAGAAUCUCAACGCACUCAUCACAGAGGCAUUUCAAGGGAUCCAGCCAUCUCCCAUUCUUCUGGUGCAGACUCUCCUCCCUAUUCGCCCCUCCUCUGCAGCCCUAAAGAUGGAGGCUCCACUGCCAGCAGUCCACCUGCCCCCUCCAGCCCUUCUUCAUACAUGGCAGCCAUCGGCAGAAAAGAUCCAUCAAUCAUUCAUCAGUUUAGCCCUGGCCUCAGUGGACAGCAGAAACUCCAGGGGAGCACAGCCAGACCCAGCCUGACAUCCGCCAUGUCUGUCACAGCUCACGGCGGUCCAAAAUCCAGGUUCUCAGACAUCAAGUACAGAAAGACUUCGCAGCCCCUCUGCUCACGGCUGCUCCCGCACGGCAGAUCGAGAGCAAACAAGCUCGACGCGGAGCUGGAAGAACACAAGAACCCUGAGUGCAAACAAAAAGAUAAGCUGGGGAAAAAGGAGAGAAAGGGAGAUGUUCAAAAGACAAACAGAAAGGGCGAGGAAAGAAGAAGGCGGAAGAAAAAAGAGGAGAGGAGGUUGGGAGAACGUAAAAAGAAAAGAGAUAAGGCGGUGAAAAAAGAAAGAAAGUUGGGCUUGAAAAUCACAAAGAAGGAAACGUGCACCACCAUGUCCAGCUCUUCAGUAGAGGUCAAAAUGAGUAAAAUGGAGACUACAACUCUGACCCCCGAGAGUCGAAGCCAGUCAACACCCAAACACAAGCACAGGGCGAGGAGUGAACGAGCAGAGGGGACACACAGGCCGUCUGCCAAUACGCCUCACCACAGCUCGAAAUCGGAAAAAAAUCACAAAAUGUCCAAAAACAACAACAGUCCCAAGAAACUCCCCGUCAAGAAACUUCUAAUGAAGCCUCCUCCCAACCGGACCAGCAAGAAGCCCAGCGUCGUCCCGUCCCAGUCGGAAGACGGACCAAAAGAAAAGCCUGAUGACGCUCUCCCUUCACUUUUAUUCAAGGCCUUAGCACCUCUCAGUGCAGCAUGUUCCGUUAGCUUAGCGCAGCCCAUCCAUGGCAAGGACGUUGGCCAGGGGGGAGGUCUCAACGCCCCGGACCUCCAGCCUGUGGCGGUGAUGGGCAAUCGAGGGAAAUGGGAGACAACCUUGCAAACACGCCUCCUGUUCUGA
rnacentral:lncRNA from 1 species